rnacentral:sRNA from 1 species
CUCCAUGCUCGGAAUAACUUCCUGCAGCGACCAACAGGCUAAAGAGGGGGAAGGUCUGGAGGGAUCCAGCACCGGCUCCUCCUCCGGCAACCACGGUGGGAGCGGCGGAGGAAAUGGACAUAAACCCGGGAAUUUUAAAUCCAAGCUGGGUUUCAUCAACUGGGAUGCCAUAAACAAGAACCAGGUCCCGCCCCCCAGCACCCGAGCCCUCCUCUACUUCAGCCGACUCUGGGAGGAUUUCAAACAGAACACUCCUUUCCUCAACUGGAAAGCAAUUAUUGAGGGUGCGGACGCGUCAUCACUGCAGAAACGUGCAGGCAGAGCCGAUCAGGUGAGUCUCUGUCCUCAGGUUACCCUGCAGGGCCCUUGGUCCCCCUUGGCCUUGCUCCCGGGUCUGGGCAAUCUGAAAUUCUCUUUCACUCCUCCAUUCAAUGGCUUUCUCAGCCGGGUGCAGGAUGGCAGGAUGUGGCAGCUGUAACUUCCAAGGUGAGACAUCUACCAUGGACCCGCUGGGUUACGUCCUGGCACUUCUUUUCUUGGUCUCCUACCCUCACCUCCCAAGUAACACUUGAAGAGUUGGGAG